rnacentral:rRNA from 1 species
UAGGGAAUAUUGCAAAAUGGGCGAAAGCCCGAUGCAGCAACGCCGCGUGGGCGAUGAAGGCCUUCGGGUCGUAAAGCCCUUUUUGAGGGGAUGAGGAAGGACAGUACCCUCAGAAUAAGCCCCGGCUAACUACGUGCCAGCAGCCGCGGUAAAACGUAGGAGGCGAGCGUUAUCCGGAUUUACUGGGCGUAAAGCGCGUGCAGGCGGAUUGGAGAGUUGGAUGUGAAAGCUCCCGGCUUAACUGGGAGAGGUCGUUCAAUACUUCCAGUCUUGAGUGCAGUAGAGGGAAGUGGAAUUCCGGGUGUAGUGGUGAAAUGCGUAGAUAUCCGGAGGAACACCAGUGGCGAAAGCGGCUUCCUGGACUGUAACUGACGCUCAGACGCGAAAGCUAGGGUAGCAAACG